rnacentral:lncRNA from 1 species
AAUUGCUGCUUCCCUUUUUCACAGUUUUAAGCCACGUAGUUUCUCUCCUUUCCAAAGAACAGAACACAACAGAAAGAUGGAUGUUGGUAGAGGGGAUGUCAGUUUGAUGUUAUCGCCUACUCAGCAAGUAAGUCCCUUUAUUGAAGGAGGAAGACCUCAUGCUCUCCAUGAUGCCCACUCAUAACAAGCUUCUUUUUCCUCUAGCUCAGCCUGCUGUGAGUCACUCUGAUGUUUGCACCUUGCUGCUCCUUCUCAUUGGUCUACAAAGGAGUGAGGAUGAGAAGUUCCAUAACAAACACUCAUCUCCCUUCUGAGCUAAUGGGGUCAGACAGGUCUGCCUGCAAGAUACAGAUUUCCUUAAGGGCAUCAUAAAGAGAAGAGACAUGAGAAGAUGGACCUUUCAAUAUGACUCCAAAGUUCAUUAGAUUAUAACAUUUGCUCUACAUCUGUGCACAAGGCAAUGCCUCACAUCCAGCAUGAAACCCAGGAUUCAUUCCCUUACCCCUCCA